UUCUGGCCUGGAAGUGAACUACACAGAUUAAGGUCCAUGCAGAAAGGUUGUCAAACUGGAACAAUACAGGGAAGAUUAGUAUGGCUCCUGCAGGAGGAUUACACACAGUCAGCAUUUUA
rnacentral:snRNA from 1 species